GGCCCGUUCGUCUAGUGGAAGGAUGCGAGACCCUCACUCUCGAGGCACGGGUUCGAUUCCCGUACGGGUCA
rnacentral:tRNA from 1 species